rnacentral:rRNA from 1 species
UACGAAGGGGGCUAGCGUUGCUCGGAUUGACUGGGCGUAAAGGGCGCGUAGGCGGUUCGUACAGUCAGACGUGAAAUUCCUGGGCUCAACCUGGGGGCUGCGUUUGAUACGUGCGGGCUUGAGUGCGGAAGAGGGUCGUGGAAUUCCCAGUGUAGAGGUGAAAUUCGUAGAUAUUGGGAAGAACACCGGUGGCGAAGGCGGCGACCUGGUCCGAUACUGACGCUGAGGCGCGAAAAGCGUGGGGAGCAAACAGG